CAAUGUCCCAAUCUCUCACUCUUGAAUUCUUUUAUCUCAAAUAGAAAGUUCCCUCUUGGCAGGACUUAGUUACAGAGUUUCUGUAACAUAGCAUGGUAUCAGUAGUUGAUGACCAUAUAAUUGCAAUUAUUGUCAUAAGAACUUCUUUAUAAUCACCACAAAAUAAUAUGCAUUCGAUCCCAAUAAGUAUGCAUUUAUCUCAUGUCACUACUGUAAUUAAGAAAUAAGACGGUGUAAGUAGCAUGCUUCAGGAUAAUUAUGGUUUUCCAGGACUGAAAAUAGUAUGAAAAACCAGGCUGCAGGCUAAAUGCCUGAAGAAAGAUAAUAAUGUCCUAGAAAUCUACCACCUGCCUUCUUAGCGUUGUUAUUUUAAGAAGGAAUUGUAAAUUUGUAUUGUGCUAAAGUACACAUAAAAUGUACCAUCUUCAUCAUUUCUAAGUAUGCAGUUCUGUGGCAUUAAGUGCAUUCACAUUGUUGUAUAACCAGCAUCACUAUUCAUCUCCAGAACUUUUCAUCAUAACAAUAUUUUUUAUUUUGAAUAAAAUCAUGCAGAUAUUAUUGAAAAAAAAGAAGGAAUUGUAAGACACCUGUGAGAGUCUAAAGUCUGACAAAAUUUGUACUCCCAAAAGUAUCAUCUGGGGAAAGUAUGACAGUACUACAUGGAUAAAAAUGGUUUAUAUAUACAACCCACUGAACCUUGAAAUAUUGCAGCUCAGAGAUAUGCAUUGAUUCAAACAAGCAGAGCUUUAUCUUUCAUAUGAAAAGGACAGGAAAGGAAAUCUUGUUCAAUGGAUGAAUUGAAGAAUAAGAUGUUCAGUAUGUGCUAAUUUCAGUAGGCCAAUUGCAGCAGGCCUUCCAAGAGGGCACCAAGGUCUGGGUGCCACUGCUUCUGGCAUCAAGCACUCUGGGCUGCCUUUAUCUUGUUGUUGGCACUUCUACCUAUGUUUCUCCCUCAACUCUCAAGGCUCUCAACUUCAUUAUAACCAAACAUAAAACAAGUCUAAACUUUCUUAUCUGUUGUAAAAAUAUACAAGCAAGCUUAUGGGCACGUUCAUAGUCUAUUCAUUAGAAACAUAAGCAGUUUUUCAUUAACCUGAUUGUCAGAUACAAUACAUAUACUCAAAAUAUGGGAAGACAUUAUCUAUGGAAUAAAUCUGUUUAAUGAUGUAUCUAAAGUUCAAGGAAAAAGGAAGGUUUAUGUAUCAAAAUGUAUAAAUCUUGAUAAUAGGGAAUUGAGUAAAUAUAAUUGAACUUUAUGGAUAAUCCUUAACUGUGGGUAAACACACUGUCAUAGUGACAAAUAGAAUGGUGGUAAAUAAAUUAGGCAACUGCUUAUCCCCCUGAGUAUUUAAUUGCAAAUUAUACAAUUAAUUGUUUUUUGUAACAUUUUGUGUUUGACUUAUGAAGCUGCUAAUAUCCAAAAUAUAAGAAGAGAAGAAAAAAGGAAAGAACAAAAUAAAAGUGAGAGGCCUUAUUUUAUCCACAAAAUAAAGCAUUACUCUCCAGGUUGAGUCAGAGUGUUUUCACUGCCAAGUCCAGAAUAGUUUCCUUGCUUUUCCUACUUGUAUGACAAAUAGAAUGGUAUUGUAAACUGUAUGAUCAUGAAUAUCAGUAGCCAGAAUAUAUUAUACAGCAUUUUUAAAUUGAAAUUAAAAAUCAUUUUUAGAGCAUACAUUUUUAGUUAAAGUACACAUUGAAUAUUUGGGUACUUAGUCCUGUGCCUUACAGUGCCUUUAAAAGUCAAAUCAUGUGCAGAAUAGUCAGAUAUUUGGUUCCUAGGAAAAAAAUGCACAAUCACAAACACAGGAUGAAACAACGUCUUUGCAGAGCAAGAAGAGAGCCACCCUGUUUUAGGGCAGCUUGCUUUGUGCUCACGCUGCAGCACAGUAUUUUUCAAGAUAGGCAUUAAAUAUUAGCAGUCGGUUUCCAUUUUUGCCUUUGUGGCUCUGAUAGCGUGCCCCUUUUCAGAAUAGUUCAUUGUGUUUAAAAAUAUGUCCAUUAGCUUGUUAAAUUAUUGAUUAUGCUUUUAGUUCUCAUAAAAUGUGAAGAUAGAUGGAAUAUAGGGAAAUACAUCCCUGAUGGCUCAUCUGAUGGGCUUUGGCAUUGUACUCACAUUUUUCUUAUAAAAGGUAAUUUUGUGUCUUUAUUUUAUUCUAAAAAUAGUCUGGAACCACACAAGGGAUAUUAAGAGUCAGACUAGGCUUAACAUUACUAAUAUGAGUGCCAGUAACACUUCUUGAUUUAAACACACAUAACUAUUGAUAAUAAUUGUAGGCAACCCAGUCUUAGGCAACUCUUCAGGCCUGGACAACUAAUAACCUGGUAAAUGUCAACAUCUAUGUUCUUAGAUAUCAAAAGUAAGGAAAGUUUGUCCAAACCUAAUAUAACUAUAUUAAUCUUUUGCUCAAUCUAAAAAUGGUUCUCAGCUUGGAGUCUACUAUUUAGAUACAUCAUUUUGUUUUUCUAAAAGUGAAACAUUCCAAUGAAUCAUUAAUUAAUGAUUGAUUGUAACAUAUUAUUUGUUGAAUGUUAAUGUUAAUUUACUUAUAUAACUUUACAAAGUGGUUUUAUGUGCACUUUUGUUGUGUUACUAGGAACUAAGAAACUAUCUUAUUUAUGAGAAAAGGAAAUGAGGAUCAAGGGUUUCAGGUGACUGUCUGAGUUUAUAUAGGGAAUUCUAGCAAAUCCAGCAUUCAAAGUAGUCAACAAGCGGAUUGCACGCUUAAUGAUUUGUUAAGAGAGUAGUUCCUAUAUUAAGUGUUAUUAACACACACACACACACACACACACGCGUGCACGCGCGCAAGCCUGGGCAUAGGAAUUCAGAAUCAAUAUUCUUUCUUAUUCCAUGGUUCUCCCAGAACUUUGGCUACAAAUUCAUCAAACUUCCGUCUAUUUUCUGCUUCAUUUUAUUCUAUUAUUUUAUUUACCUGGUGAAUUUUAUUUAUAACAACCCUAUAUUGCAACUUACGAUAUUUCCUCAUAAGCUUUUCCUAGAAUGGAUUAAAUCUAAAAUAUCACUUACAUAUUUUUACUUUUUUGGAAAUGAAAAUAAAAUUUGAUAUUUCAAUAUGUAUAUCUAUGCACACACAUGCAUGUCAGCUGAUUACUGACUCUAGACACUUUAAGAUAAUAAGUACUUAAGAGAGAAAUGAUUGUUUCACUUGGAAAGAUUUUAAUUCUCUUGCAGCACUAAAAAUAGAUGCCAAGUUUUUCACAAUGGAACACAAUAAUAGAUUUCCACUAAGAAAUGUGUUCUAUAAAUAAAAAGUAACUCUGAUCUUCCAAUUUCAAAGAGACACAUUUUAUUAAUUUAGGUAGAUGUUUCAAGAUUUAUUCCUGUAAGAACUACACUUAGAAGGAGAAAUAGGCCGGGCGCAAUGGUUCACGCCUGUAAUCCCAGCACUUUGGGAGGCUGGGCGGGCAGAUCACCCGAAGUAAGGAGUUUGAGACCAGCCUGGCCAAACCUGUGAAACCCCAUCUCUACUACAAAUACAAAAAGUAGCCGGGCCUGGUGACUAGCUCCUGCCUGUAUUCCCAGCUACUCAGGAGGCUGAGGCAGAAGAAUUGCUUCAACGCUGGAGGCAGAGUUUGCAGUGAGCUGAGAUCAUGCCACUGCAUUACAGCCAAAAAAUGAGAAGUAAGAGAAAGAGGAGAGGAAAAAAAAAAUAAAGAAGGAAAGAAAAUGGAAGAAAUAAAGAAAGAAAGGAAGAAGAGAAAAGAAAGAGAAAAAAGAAAUGAAAGGAAAAAGGAAAGGAGAAAAAGAAACAAAGAAAAGCUCCAGAAUCAAACACAUCUCACCAUGUGUAGGUCAGAUGAGUAGUAAAAAGGUUAGGCUACUAAAAAUUGUUUCGCUCAUGUCUUUAAAUCUCCACUUACAGUAAACUUCAGUUAUUGAUCUUUCCACUCAGGCUACUUCCCUAAGCACAGGAGCUCUAUUGCUCCAUGUGACUUUCAGGUUUCAUAUAAGAUGUGCAUCACCACAAGCAUUUAUAAUUAAUCACUAAUCCUAGUUGAUGUUUUAACAUCCCAUACCCUUGACUGUUAAAAGGAAAUCUUUUUUUGGAUGUGUGAAGAACUAAGUUUUUGGUUAUUAAUUUGGAGCAGGCUUCAUGAAGAAAAUAAUAGUAAUUAAAGAGUUAACAAAUAAAAAAAGGGUAUCGAUUAAAAUAUCCCAGAAGUUUGUAUUUAAUAAGUCUGAAAAUAUUUAAAAAAUCAGAUUGCUAUAAUAUUCAUAUUGUUUUGAUUUGCACACAAUGGAGCAAUACAAACAUGAAAUUUGAAAUUAGAAUGCCUACGCUUGAGCACUGGCUCUUCAUUAGUGUAUCAAUUAACUUCUCUGAAUCUCAGAGAUCUCUAAGGCUAAAUGAAAACAAUAAUUUAGUUUAUAGGUUUGUUGUGAUGCCCAAAUGAGUCGAGGUAUGCCAAAACAUUUUAUAAAAUGAAAAACAUUGUAUAUUAUCACCAUGG
rnacentral:lncRNA from 1 species